rnacentral:rRNA from 1 species
CCUACGGGAGGCUGCAGUGAGGAAUAUUGGUCAAUGGGCGAGAGCCUGAACCAGCCAAGUCGCGUGAGGGAGUACUGCCCUAUGGGUUGUAAACCUCUUUUGUCGGGGAGCAAAAGCCGGACGUGUCCGGCGGUGAGAGUACCCGAAGAAAAAGCAGCGGCUAACUCCGUGCCAGCAGCCGCGGUAAUACGGAGGAUGCGAGCGUUAUCCGGAUUUAGUGGGUGGAAAGGGGGUGGAGGCGGGCGCGAAAGUAGGAUGUGAAAACUCAGGGCUCAACCCUGAGCCUGCAUUUGAAACUGUGUUUCUUGAGUGCUGGAGCGGCAAUCGGAAUUCCGUGUGUAGCGGUGAAAUGCGUAGAUAUCCGGAGGAACACCAGUGGCGAAGGCGGAUUGCUGGACAGUAACUGACGCUGAGGCGCGAAAGCGUGGGGAGCAAACAGGAUUAGAUACCCGAGUAGUC